rnacentral:rRNA from 1 species
GUAGUCCGUGCUGUAAACGAUGGAUGCUAGCCGUUGGGGGGUUACCUCUCAGUGGCGUAGCUAACGCGUUAAGCAUCCCGCCUGGGGAGUACGGUCGCAAGAUUAAAACUCAAAGAAAUUGACGGGGACCCGCACAAGCGGUGGAACAUGUGGUUUAAUUCGAGGCAACGCGAAGAACCUUACCAGGAUUCGACAUGUCCUCUAUGGAUCUCCGAAAAGAGAUCCUUCACUUCGGGUGGGAGGAACACAGGUGCUGCAUGGCUGUCGUCAGCUCGUGUCGUGAGAUGUUGGGUUAAGUCCCGCAACGAGCGCAACCCUCGUCCUCUGUUGCUAACAGGUAAUGCUGAGAACUCUGAGGAAACUGCCGGUGAUAAGCCGGA